rnacentral:rRNA from 1 species
GGGUUGUGAGGUUAAGCGACUAAGCGUACACGGUGGAUGCCCUGGCAGUCAGAGGCGAUGAAGGACGUGCUAAUCUGCGAUAAGCGUCGGUAAGGUGAUAUGAACCGUUAUAACCGGCGAUUUCCGAAUGGGGAAACCCAGUGUGUUUCGACACACUAUCAUUAACUGAAUCCAUAGGUUAAUGAGGCGAACCGGGGGAACUGAAACAUCUAAGUACCCCGAGGAAAAGAAAUCAACCGAGAUUCCCCCAGUAGCGGCGAGCGAACGGGGAGCAGCCCAGAGCCUGAAUCAGUGUGUGUGUUAGUGGAAGCGUCUGGAAAGGCGCGCGAUACAGGGUGACAGCCCCGUACACAAAAAUGCACAUACUGUGAGCUCGAUGAGUAGGGCGGGACACGUGGUAUCCUGUCUGAAUAUGGGGGGACCAUCCUCCAAGGCUAAAUACUCCUGACUGACCGAUAGUGAACCAGUACCGUGAGGGAAAGGCGAAAAGAACCCCGGCGAGGGGAGUGAAAAAGAACCUGAAACCGUGUACGUACAAGCAGUGGGAGCCUCUUUUAUGGGGUGACUGCGUACCUUUUGUAUAAUGGGUCAGCGACUUAUAUUCUGUAGCAAGGUUAACCGAAUAGGGGAGCCGAAGGGAAACCGAGUCUUAACUGGGCGUUAAGUUGCAGGGUAUAGACCCGAAACCCGGUGAUCUAGCCAUGGGCAGGUUGAAGGUUGGGUAACACUAACUGGAGGACCGAACCGACUAAUGUUGAAAAAUUAGCGGAUGACUUGUGGCUGGGGGUGAAAGGCCAAUCAAACCGGGAGAUAGCUGGUUCUCCCCGAAAGCUAUUUAGGUAGCGCCUCGUGAAUUCAUCUCCGGGGGUAGAGCACUGUUUCGGCAAGGGGGUCAUCCCGACUUACCAACCCGAUGCAAACUGCGAAUACCGGAGAAUGUUAUCACGGGAGACACACGGCGGGUGCUAACGUCCGUCGUGAAGAGGGAAACAACCCAGACCGCCAGCUAAGGUCCCAAAGUCAUGGUUAAGUGGGAAACGAUGUGGGAAGGCCCAGACAGCCAGGAUGUUGGCUUAGAAGCAGCCAUCAUUUAAAGAAAGCGUAAUAGCUCACUGGUCGAGUCGGCCUGCGCGGAAGAUGUAACGGGGCUAAACCAUGCACCGAAGCUGCGGCAGCGACACUGUGUGUUGUUGGGUAGGGGAGCGUUCUGUAAGCCUGUGAAGGUGUACUGUGAGGUAUGCUGGAGGUAUCAGAAGUGCGAAUGCUGACAUAAGUAACGAUAAAGCGGGUGAAAAGCCCGCUCGCCGGAAGACCAAGGGUUCCUGUCCAACGUUAAUCGGGGCAGGGUGAGUCGACCCCUAAGGCGAGGCCGAAAGGCGUAGUCGAUGGGAAACAGGUUAAUAUUCCUGUACUUGGUGUUACUGCGAAGGGGGGACGGAGAAGGCUAUGUUGGCCGGGCGACGGUUGUCCCGGUUUAAGCGUGUAGGCUGGUUUUCCAGGCAAAUCCGGAAAAUCAAGGCUGAGGCGUGAUGACGAGGCACUACGGUGCUGAAGCAACAAAUGCCCUGCUUCCAGGAAAAGCCUCUAAGCAUCAGGUAACAUCAAAUCGUACCCCAAACCGACACAGGUGGUCAGGUAGAGAAUACCAAGGCGCUUGAGAGAACUCGGGUGAAGGAACUAGGCAAAAUGGUGCCGUAACUUCGGGAGAAGGCACGCUGAUAUGUAGGUGAAGCGACUUGCUCGUGGAGCUGAAAUCAGUCGAAGAUACCAGCUGGCUGCAACUGUUUAUUAAAAACACAGCACUGUGCAAACACGAAAGUGGACGUAUACGGUGUGACGCCUGCCCGGUGCCGGAAGGUUAAUUGAUGGGGUUAGCGCAAGCGAAGCUCUUGAUCGAAGCCCCGGUAAACGGCGGCCGUAACUAUAACGGUCCUAAGGUAGCGAAAUUCCUUGUCGGGUAAGUUCCGACCUGCACGAAUGGCGUAAUGAUGGCCAGGCUGUCUCCACCCGAGACUCAGUGAAAUUGAACUCGCUGUGAAGAUGCAGUGUACCCGCGGCAAGACGGAAAGACCCCGUGAACCUUUACUAUAGCUUGACACUGAACAUUGAGCCUUGAUGUGUAGGAUAGGUGGGAGGCUUUGAAGUGUGGACGCCAGUCUGCAUGGAGCCGACCUUGAAAUACCACCCUUUAAUGUUUGAUGUUCUAACGUUGACCCGUGAUCCGGGUUGCGGACAGUGUCUGGUGGGUAGUUUGACUGGGGCGGUCUCCUCCUAAAGAGUAACGGAGGAGCACGAAGGUUGGCUAAUCCUGGUCGGACAUCAGGAGGUUAGUGCAAUGGCAUAAGCCAGCUUGACUGCGAGCGUGACGGCGCGAGCAGGUGCGAAAGCAGGUCAUAGUGAUCCGGUGGUUCUGAAUGGAAGGGCCAUCGCUCAACGGAUAAAAGGUACUCCGGGGAUAACAGGCUGAUACCGCCCAAGAGUUCAUAUCGACGGCGGUGUUUGGCACCUCGAUGUCGGCUCAUCACAUCCUGGGGCUGAAGUAGGUCCCAAGGGUAUGGCUGUUCGCCAUUUAAAGUGGUACGCGAGCUGGGUUUAGAACGUCGUGAGACAGUUCGGUCCCUAUCUGCCGUGGGCGCUGGAGAAUUGAGGGGGGCUGCUCCUAGUACGAGAGGACCGGAGUGGACGCAUCACUGGUGUUCGGGUUGUCAUGCCAAUGGCACUGCCCGGUAGCUAAAUGCGGAAGAGAUAAGUGCUGAAAGCAUCUAAGCACGAAACUUGCCCCGAGAUGAGUUCUCCCUGACCCUUUAAGGGUCCUGAAGGAACGUUGAAGACGACGACGUUGAUAGGCCGGGUGUGUAAGCGCAGCGAUGCGUUGAGCUAACCGGUACUAAUGAACCGUGAGGCUUAACCUUACAACGCCGAAGCUGUU